AUAUAGGUAAGGUAUUUAAAAGAAAAAAGAUUGAAACGUUCGAUGUAAAACAAUGAAAUUAAAUGAUUGGAUUUGAAAACUUGAUUCGGUUUAAUAAUUCGAUGAAAAAAGUAUUCAUCCUAUGAAAAAAGAAUUCAUGUUCCUGUCGAUAUAUCAACGACGUGCGCCGUUACUUCCCACUGCUCUGCAAUUCAAAUGCAAUACUCGAAUAUACAUGGCGAAAGAAAUGGAAAUUGAGCAAUUUAAGGGAACGAAUUACUCUCGCGUCCACGUAACUUCAAAAUGUAUCACGUGUCCGUGUUUGCGAAACGAAAUUCGUCGUUGUCCAACUAACACGCUUGCAGAUGCUACGUUCACUUUGUUGCAUAUAGGGCUUAAAUAUAUGAACAAAUAGAACGGCGCAACUGUCACUAGCGUAAUUUUUAAAGUGAAUCAAUGCAUAAUCUCGUCAUCUACGUUUGACCAUGAUUAUGGCAGUGAUCAUUGUUAUAUACGAAUCUUCGUGCAAUAUAUGUGAAAAUUCGUGGUUGUCCAAUUAACACGCUUGCAGAUGCUACGUUCACUUUGUUGCAUAUAGGGCUUAAAUAUAUGAACAAAUAGUACUGCGCAAGUGUCACUAGCGUAAUCUUAACGUGUUAAAGUGAAUCAAUACAUAACUUCGUCAUCUACGUUUGUCCAUGACUACGGCAGUGGUCAUUGAUAUAUGUGAAGCUUCGUGGAGUAGAUGUGAAAAUUCGUCGUUGUCCGGUUAACACGCUUGCAGAUGCUCCGUUCACUUUGUUCCAUAUAGGGCUCAAAUAUGUGAACAAAUUGAAUGGAGCAACUGUCAUUAGCGUAAUAUUAACGCGUUAAAAUAAAUUAAUGUAUAAUUUCGUCAUUUACGUUUGAUCUACGUUUUUUCAUCUACGUCAUCUACGGCACCUACGCGAAUCUUAUUGAUUACGUCUUUGGCAGUGUUCGUUGCUAUAAAUGAAACUUAAUAGUUGUUGAAACCGCUCGAAAGUCGUGUUCCUAAAUCAUUCCCUCGUCUCGUAUCGUGUUCAUCAAAUGGAAAAGGAGAUUGUGUUUUAAUGAAAUCGCUUGUUACUAUCAAUCUUGCUGUGUCACUCGCAUAGGAGAAGAAAGUGAGGAAGGAGAAAAAAAUUAAGGUAAGGUCAUCAAUGAGCAAAAUGUUUAAUGUACAUUAAAAUUGAGUCCGCUGCAACCCUCGUGACUUUUAAAAUUCCAUACGUAUAUUGUUAUACGUAACAUUGCCAUAUUAAAUAUAUUCGAUCAAAUAUUCAAUCUCGUUCCCUGAAAGCUGUUCCUGGAUAUCUGGUUGGAUACUUUGCGCACGGAAAUAGAGAGUGUUAACAGUAACAAACCCUCUAUGUAGUGUUUUUGCUUUGCUCUUUUGAACAGUGUACAGAAGAUACCAAUUCAAAGAAAUGGAAAGAAAGUCUAAAAGCAAAGAAAAUCUACAGGAAGAUAAAACGUUCGAGCCUUGCCAGGCUAUAUAAGAUGCUAAGUAAUUUCAUUUUGACAAUGGUCCAACAUCCUACUAUGCAUAAAUUUAAUAUUAAUAUAAGCAAGUUUCAUGCCAAGUAUUACAUCUAACGUAUAAGCACAAGCCCUGGUUUUAAAUGCCUUAUAGUAACACCGAAAAGAUUAUUCAGUUGGAUGUCUGACUCAACAUCAAUAUUUUACUUAGAAGAUAAUACGUCGAGAGCAUGUUGGUGGAUGGAAUGGGAGAUGAAUGAAGGCUUACUUCUGUAAAAUACGUAAAAUGGUAGUCGGAAUGAAUUUUGGCGCUUGGGGACAGAAAAAGUGCUGACUGAUACUGUCAUACACCUGAAUAUAUAAAAUUUUGAAAAUCGAUGUAACCUUUGAACUUUAUCGUAUUCUGUUUCAUAGCACAAAUUAUUGUUCCCCGAAAUGUACGUUUAGUGUUAUAAUAUAUUUGACCAACGGUUCUCAAAUACUAGUUUUGCAAAAGCAAUGGUGGAAUUGGAGCAAUUCUUUCUUCUUUCAUUCUUUGAAUGACCUGGAUUUUCGAGUAGUCUAGUGACGAUUGAUCCGUACAAUUAAUCGAUUUCUUUUUAUUACACAAGUGGAAGAGAUUCCGCGUUGUACGCGGAUGUUGCAACAUCGAAUGCCUGAAUCCCACAGAACAUCCGACCGAAUUUAAUGUCACUACCGUCGAUGAUUCACCCAGAAAUGGUUCACUUCAGAACCAUAGUCUCAUAUCUGGAUGCAUCUCAUAUGUGUCACAUAGUCAUAUGUGGAUGCUGAGCUUAUUGAUGGUAAUUGUAAUAUUUUAAUUUUUUUUAUUCUAUAUUUUCGACUUCUUUUUUCGAGUAGAAUCACCAAUUUUCCGCUUGUACUAUCAAUUACCAACCAGCCUGUAUGACAAAAUUCUAUUUUAAACACCAAAUUCGUCACGAUUGGCUAUUUUGUUUACGAAAUUAAACGAAUUUAAUAAAUGAAAUGGCAAGGAAGGAACUACAAGUGACCGUCAAACUAUUUUUAUGCUUGAAAAGUAAUUCGCAAAGUAAUAUAAAGUAAUACUACUGAUUUGUGUCAGAAUUUUUCAGAAUUUUUUCUUAAUCUCUUGUUUUUUCCCUUCAAAUUUAUUAUUUAUUAUUUAUUCGGUGCUUUUUCCCUUCAAAUUUAUUAUUUAUUAUUUAUUCGGUGUCACGAAAACCGAUUAAAUAUUAAAUAUCUUAAAUAUAGAUUGAAAUGAAAGCUUGUCAUUUCUCGUUCAGUUGUCACUUCAAAGUUGUUAGUUCAAAGGUUCUCGUACAUCAUAAAGCAAGGGAUCAAAUCUUUAAUUUAUUGAUGUGAAUACCUAUCACGAGCGAAACAGAAAUGCGAAGAUCCUUUGGAACGAUAAUAAUAAAAUUGCAUGCAUAGGAACCAUGGAUGGAACACAAGGCAAAGGUGUAGAUGGUAUUAUAAGCUUUGAAACGUGCGUAUAGGACGAGAGAAAUUGAUCAAAAAAUUGAGUUGAGCCCUUUGAAGUUAGGAACAACAUACUUUGAUGUUUUGUUUAAAGGAGAGAUAUUGAGCUGUGCAAAAAUUGUAUAGGUUCUCUGAAGGUAAAUAAGAUUUUGUUGCUGAGUAAAUAAACGAGAUUUCAAGUUUCUCUUGAAUAUUGGAAAUUUAAAGGUUUUGAUGGUAUUUUAUCGUUAUAUUACUUCUAAAUUUUAAAGGACCAAAUCACAUGGCUGAAAUUUUUAAAGUCUUUCUAUAUCUUUGAGGAAGUAAGAUAAGGUUGAUAGAUAGUCGUUGUUGGUACUUAACCGAGUAUGGUCAUAUAGUCGAUUAAAUGAAAUUUCUAUUCUUUCAGAUAUAUAUCGUCAAAUAUAUAUUAUAUAUCAAUGUUAAUUGUUAUCUGUGUUGGCGUAGUGAAUAAACACAUUGAUGUUCGGUGUUUCAAUUAUCAGAAUUAUAAUCGAUGUUAAAUGUAUAGAGUGUCAAAAAAUUAUUUGUUAUAGCUGUGGAAGAUGGAAAUCUGUUAGAGAAAAUGGAUCAUGAAAUUGAUCUUGAGUAUAAUUUUCAGACAAAAUUUUUUAUUGCAUCAUAAAGUACUCAUCACGAGAAACGAAAGUUUCAGAAAACAUACUUUUUGCUUCAAAUAAUUAAGAUAAAAUUUAGAUACGGGGCUUUCAGUUUAUGAAAGUCGAAGAGAAGAUAUAUAUUCCAUUUGGUCAUAUUCUAUUUAAAUUCGUAACUACUCGUUCCAUUUACGUUAUUAAUAAAACAUUUUUAUCGACAAGCUACCUAACAGAAAGACCUUUUUGUCACUCUAAAUUGCCUCAAAAGAAAAUCCCUUGUCAAACAUACCAUGUUUCUCGUACGAAAAUCCAAAAAGGAUUUUCCAAAAAGAUAUAUUCAGUGAACCAUGGUUUGUGACUGGUGAGCUUGAAAAGAGAUGAAGCGUCGAAGCGUCAAAGUUUAUAUUCCACGAAGCUCUCGACCCUUCUAUCUCAAUAAUCCUGAUCAAAAUUCGAAUGAACUACCCAACGAAACGAUCACCGUUUUCUAUAGAAUCUCUUUAAGCAUUCUUCAUUAAGGAAUCGUCAGAUUUUACCCCAUUACGUUCUUCCAUCACAAUCUUCGUAAUGAUGAAUAAAAAAAUAAAAGCUUUUAAAACCCGACAGCGCUGUCAUUUUCUAAAAACGUCGUCUUUAUACUCCUGAUGGCCACGAGCACAUCCGACUACCAAAUAUAAAAUGCAUUGUGAGUGUGUCAUCAGCAUAAUUUUCGUGAAAAGAGCAAUUAUUCUUGAUAACUAUAAUAUGUAACAUAGAUUAAAAUCGCUGAUUUGAUCCCUCUGAUAUUGUUGUCUUAUGAGAGUUUCGCCUGGUGUUAAUUGGUUCUGUUGAUUCUUAUCGUUGUGAAAAGUCGAUUCGCUAUAUAUCUUUUGUAUAGAGAACUAUUAUGUGAUGUAAGAGCGUAAUGUUGUAAUAUUUGUGAUCCUUACUUUAUUAAUUUUGUCACUGAGCCGUUCUUUGGUUCGUUGAGCAGUUCAUGUUCCCUACUUGUUUCGCUUGGUACUUUCAUAAUUUUCGUAAUUACAAUAAAAGGUUUAAUUUGUAAUAAGUUAAAGAUUUGGUCCCUUGCUUUAUGAUGUACGAGAACCUUUGAACUAACAACUUUGAAGUGACAAUUGAACGAGAACUGACAAGCUUUCAUUUCAAUCUAUGUUUAAGAUAUUUAAUAUUUAAUCGGUUUUCGUGACACCGAAUAAAUAAUAAAUAAUAAAUUUGAAGGGAAAAAAACAAGAGAUUAAGAAAAAAUUCUGAAAGAGACAAAAAUCAGUUGUAUUAUUUUAUAUUACUUUGCGAAUUACUUUUCAAGCAUAAAAAUAGUUUGACGGUCACUUGUAGUUCCUUCCUUGCCAUUUCAUUUAUUAAAUUCGUUUAAUUUCGUAAACAAAAUAGCCAAUCGUGACGAAUUUGGUGUUUAAAAUAGAAUUUUGUCAUACAGGCUGGUUGGUAAUUGAUAGUACAAGCGGAAAAUUGGUGAUUCUACUCGAAAAAAGAAGUCGAAAAUAUAGAAUAAAAAAAAUUAAAAUAUUACAAUUACCAUCAAUAAACUCAGCAUCCACAUAUGACUAUGUGGCACAUAGGAGAUGCAUCCAGAUAUGAGACUAUGGUUCUGAAGUGAACCAUUUCUGGGUGAAUCAUCGACGGUAGUGACAUUAAAUUCGGUCGGAUGUUCUGUGGGAUUCAGGCAUUCGAUGUUGCAACAUCCGCGUACAACGCGGAAUCUCUUGCACUUGUGUAAUAAAAAGAAAUCGAUUAAUUGUACGGAUCAAUCGUCACUAGACUACUCGAAAAUCCAGGUCAUUCAAAGAAUGAAAGAAGAAAGAAUUGCUCCAAUUCCACCAUUGCUUUUGCAAAACUAGUAUUUGAGAACCGUUGGUCAAAUAUAUUAUAACACUAAACGUACAUUUCGGGAACAAUAAUUUGUGCUAUGAAACAGAAUACGAUAAAGUUCAAAGGUUACAUCGAUUUUCAAAAUUUUAUAAAUUCAGGUGUAUGACAGUAUCAGUCAGCUCUUUUUCUGUUCCCAAGCGCCAAAAUUCAUUCCGACUACCAUUUUACGUAUUUUACAGAAGUAAGCCUUCAUUCAUCUCCCAUUCCAUCCACCAACAUGCUCUCGACGUAUUAUCUUCUAAGUAAAAUAUUGAUGUUGAGUCAGACAUCCAACUGAAUAAUCUUUUCGGUGUUACUAUAAGGCAUUUAAAACCAGGGCUUGUGCUUAUACAUUAGAUGUAAUACUUGGCAUGAAACCUGCUGAUAUUAAUAUUAAAUUUAUGCAUAGUAGGAUGUAGGACCAUUGUCAAAAUGAAAUUAUUUAGCAUCUUAUAUAGCCUGGCAAGUCUCGAACGUUUUAUCUUCCUGUAGAUUUUCUUUGCUUUUAGACUUUCCUUCCAUUUCUCUGAAUUGGUAUCUUCUGUACACUAUUUAUAAAGGAAGAAUAAAUUACAUCUUACAUCCAAGUUACCAAUCCAAAUAAUUUUAAGUAAGAAAAGAGAUCUAAUGCAGCAGUUUCAACUUAAAUAUAGAUCCGACGAUUAUUUACGAACAAAUAGUAUAAAUCUUUUAGCAAUAUGAAAUUCGCAAUAUUUAUUCAAAUAUUUAUAUUUAUAGUACGCCAUUAGCAAAGAAGACAUGUUUGCGUGCGUUAUCGAUUUUACGCUUUUGCCACGCAAACAUGGAAAUUGCGAUUCAAAAUUGAAUUUGCACUGGAAACGCUUGACGUUACGACAUCAAUAACAUAUUUCAAAAACACUGAUGAUGUCAUACGGAAUCAGAGAGAUUCUAUGAGAAGUUAAACGCAUAAUCAUCCUAUUGUAAAUAACAGGAACAGAAAGUACACAAGGAAUAAUACAGAAUCAUCCUAUCAUCCUAUCCUAUUAUACAGGAUUGCUUUGAUUCGAGCUCAAACAUAGGGAAAUCUGAAAGAAUUUUUCGCAGAAUUUCCUUCCCCUUUGAAUUGGCUUUUAUACAAAACGACUUUAACCUUUUCAGGGAAAUACCUAUAGAGUGUGACGAUCUAUGAUUUUAAAUAGAGGGGUAUAUCUGAAAAGAGGUGGAUGUAAAACGUAGCAUAUAAAACGUAGAUCAAAUAUUUAUUCAAGGAUUUCUUCUCUUCGCAGAGAAUCAGGUUUUCAAGAACGAUCGAAUAUGUAUGCACUUGAUUUACAUGUGAAGUUGUCAUUAAAAAUAUUGUUGCGUUUAAAAAGAUAAAUAUUGAUUUAAAUUUAAUGAAAUUGUUAGUCCAAUUAUUUUAAGCUUAAAGAUAUGUAGGUAUCACAUUUAUAUAUUGAAAACCUGGGAGCGGCAUUAAUUAACAAAGCUAGACACGCGCACACGUACUUUAAAACCAUGCUUGAAAAUCGAUAUUCCCUGAAACAAUGCAUCGUUCUGCGCUUUCAAUUUAUUUUCGCACGAAGAAUCAGUCCGUUCAUCGUUGCCGUCACCAUCGCUACUGUAAUCUAUAUUACUCGAAUAAAUUCUAUAUCUUAAUUGGAAAA